GCUCAUAAAUAUUUCAUUUUCUAUUUUGGAGCAAUAUGGUUGUCAUCUCCAGUGUAUUAAAGAUUAUAUUAGAAAGUCUAAUUGAAUCCACAUUAUAAACUACACCUUACCUAAAGACAUAAAAUAAUUUCAUGGAAGUAGAAUUAUACAGUCAAAUGGUAAUUGCUAUUAUUUUUGUUUUGAAUAUACUUCAAUUAGCAAGAGAUAAGUAGACAUGGCCAACACUCCAUUAAGAAUAUUGCCUGUAGCUCACAAAUUAAGGCAAGAUAGAGAUCCCAUGAGAGUUGACAUGGUAACACUGGAUUAGAGCCUUGAGGAAGCCAAAGGAAGACUGAAGUGACAGAGAAGAUGGUUGGAGAAAGAACUUUAGGGAUUAUCUACAUUUAAGAAAAGAAAAAGAACUGUCAAGCAAAUGGAGAAUAGAUCUCAGAAAGAAUGAGAUACCAUAACUUUUGUAUAAAGUAAAAUGAACUGGGAACCUCCAUAUGCCUUGAGUGAGGCCAAAAAAAAAGAAAAAUUGAAUUCCCCUCAUGGUUCCUAGUUGGAUUCGUUAACCACUGCACCACGACAGGAACUCCAUAGUGAUUUAUUUCAAUAAAUACCAAAAGGUUAGUUUGCCAUGUGAAGACAAAAUUUCUUUUAAAAUAUGAAAUAAUAUUGAAUGUGCUAUAGAAAUGGAAAAGGAAAGCCAACUUUGCUUCCAACUGGGAAAUGAUUACCAUCUAACCUUAAAUACCUACUAGAUCAAUUCUUCCUUGGUCCUCUAGGGAUUAGGGUAAAGUGGGGAGAAGUGGAGAGUGCAGGAAUGGUGUGUGAGCUAAGAGCAGGAUGGUAAGGCACUGUGAGAAAACGGAGUUUCCUCCAAGCUCUUACUUCUUGAGGGUAAUCAUUCUUCCAUAACAGCCUCAGCAACUGAUGUUUACCAAUAUAUUCUAUUUUGUUUUAUUAUAAUUAAAAUGUUUAAUGUGUGUGAUAUUUUGGUGAGAAAUAUGGGAGGCUCACUGUAGCUGACAUGUAUGUACAGCAUGCUUAAUUUCCAGAUGUUAUUCUAGUAACAGCUGAAUAAGACAAAGCCCCUGGCCUCAGGAAUCUUACACUGUGGAAGGUUAUUAUGAAAAAAUAAUAUUAUCAUUAUUAACCUAAUCUCACUGUUUAAUCACCAUGAGCCAGUCAGAAGGUCUCAACCUCAGUUGUAGACUGUAUGAUGUGAGAGCUUUUUUCAACUCUAUUUUACCACAUAGUAUUAACUAAAUGUUUAUAAUAUAUGUUUAUACACACACAUACACACACACACACACACACACACACACACGUUUCAGACUGGUAGCCUAUAGUCAUAAGCCAGCCACCUGCCAUAAAUUCAGAUGACUUUUUCUAUUGUGACUUGAUAUUACCACUAUAAUCAUACCUGCAAAGAUCAAAUGCUCUUAAAUUGUUCCCCAUUUUCAACAUUCCAAAGUUAACCCAUCAUCAAGAACUGCUAUUUAUUUCUCUAAAUUUACUUUUAUAUUCUUCUACGUAUUCAAUUUUGAAGUAAACGUCCUUUUCAAACUUUAAGAAAUACCUUCCAUGAGCUCCAAGCAAAACUCUGAAUUAGCGUCUUCAGAAAUGCCAAAUAAUUUUCUAAACAUAUUUUUCUUCAUACUACAAUGUAAAGUCCACCAAGCAAUAAAUACAAGCAAUAAAUUUGCCUAAAUUCUGUACUUAGCUACAUUUUCUGAAAUAUAUUAACUUUUCUUUAAAUACAUUCUAUUAAUUUAUUAAUAAGUUUUUUUCUAAUAAUGACUCAUACACAAUUCAAUGGAGAAAAUUGAAAAGAAAAUCCUCCCAAAAGCUAGCAAAAUAAGAGUUAUCCAUAAUACCACUAUAAAUUAUAAUCCCUGUUAAUUUUUUUACUGAAUCUAUUCUCAAUUCAAUUUUGUACUUACAAAAACAGAGAUCAUGAUAUACAUACUAAAUUUAAGGUAUUAUUUACAUAAAAUGAAAUGCGCCAUUUUAAAUAGUUAAUUCUGCACCUAAUUACAUUGUGUACAUUGGCAGGGGUAGAGGAUUCAGCUCACCAUACCCCAAGUAAUGCUCUGCUACAGCAUUAAAUUUCCUGCCAUUUAAAUCAGUUCUGACACUAUCUGACACUAAUGUCAGAUUCCACAAGUUAAGGGCCCAGUCCUACAGGACUUUGCCCCGCCCCCCCACACUCACAUACACUUCAGAUGCCAGUCAUAAGUCCAGGUUGUCCUGUGUACCUUUGACUAGCUGUGUAUAGAUGGAAGGUUCCUACAAGCCCUUCCUUGGGUUCAAUUAAUUUGCAAGAGUGGCUCACAAUUUACUAUAUUAAUGGUUUAUUAUGAAAGAAUGUAACCCAGGAACAACAGUUGAAAGAGAGGCAGAGGGAGAAGUUAUGGGGAAAGGGGCAUGGAGCUUCCCGGCCUUCUUUGAGUUGACCGCUCUCCCAGAUCUCCAUGUGUUCACCGUCCUGUUCUCCGAACCUCAUCACUUUGGUUUUCUGUGGAGGCUCCAUUAUGUAGGCGUGGUUGGUUAAAUCAUCAGCUAUAGAUAAUUAAACUCAACCUUUAACUCCUUUUUCCCCUAUUAAGUCAGUGGGGGGCCAGAGGACUGAAAGUUCCAAUCCUAAGCUCAUGUGGUUGGCUCCAGUGGCAGCCAGACCCCAUCCGUAGGUACAUUCCAUAGGUCAUCUCCUUAACAUAAAUCCAGUUGUAAAAAGGGGCUUGUUGUGAAUAACAUGACACUCACUUCACCUUUAUGUUUCUGAAGCUAUUUCUGGAACAGGACAAGAGACCAAAUAUUAUAUAUAAUAAGAUGUAUUCCCAUUGUUUCUAUCAAAACGCUUCAAGAGUUUUGGGAAAUGUGAGCCUGGAACUGUGGAUAAGGACCAAAUACAUAUGAAGAAUAUAUUUCAGUCAUCUGAAAUGACCAGACUUAUUUUUCUUAUAAAUCACAAUAUCACACAGGUUUAUGACUAAUAACAAUUUUAUACACUCAGGUAAUCAUCACCUCAAAAUGUAGAACACAUAUGAUCUCAGAACAGUCCCUUCUGUCAAUUUUGAGUUAACCCCCCUCCCAGAUUUCAUCCAAGACAACCACUGAUUUUUGUUACUAUGAGCUUGUCUUUCCUAGCAUUUUGUGUAAGGGGAAUCCUACAAUAUAUGCUGUUUAAUAUGUCUUAUUUCACUUAUCAGGAUAUUUUCUGAAGUUUUUUUUUGUAGCAAGAACACUCAACAUGUGAUCUACCUCCUAAAAAAUUUUUAAGUAAAAUACAGUGUUGUUUACUAUCAGUACAAUGUUGUACAGCAGAUUUCUAGAAUUUAUUCAUAUCUUGCAUGACUGAAACUUUAUACUCUCUGAACAGCAGCUCCCCAUUUCCCUCCCAUCCCCCGUCCCCAACCUCUGGUAAAUACCAUGCUAAUGUCUGUUUUUAUAAAUUUGACUAUUUUAGGUACUUCAUGUCAAUGCAGUCAUGCAAUAUUUAUACUUUUGUAUUUGGCCACUUAGCAUAAUGUCUCAGUUCAUCAUGUUGUCACAUAUGGCAUAAUUUCUUUCUUUUUGAAACUAAAUAGUAUAUCAUUGUAUGUGUAUACCACAUUUUAUUGAUUCAUUCAUCCAUCAAUGACAUUUAAGUCAUUUCCAUGUCUUGGCUAUUGUAUUACUAUUAUAUUAUUACUGCAAUGAACAUGGGAGUGCCUAUAUCAUCAAAAUUCUGAGUUCACAAAAGCCGAUCACCUACCUUUCGACCCUACCCCUCAAUGUGGCCUUUAAAAAUGCUUGGCUGGAGUUCCCACUGUGGCACAAUGGGUUAAAGCAUCUAGUGUUGCCACAGUUGCAGUGUAGGUCUCAGCUGCGGCUCAGAUUCCACCCCUGGCCCGGGAACUUCCAUAUGCCUAGGUUGGCCCAUAAAAAGUUUUUGUUUUUUUUUGUUUUUUAAAUGCUUUGCUGAAAGCCUUUGGAGAAUCCAGAUGGGUUUUUUUGGGGGGUGGGGAGGAGGUAUCCUGACCAUCCAUCUCCUUGUAUGGCCCUGCAAUAAACCUUUAUCUGCUCAAAAAAAAAAAAAAAA
rnacentral:lncRNA from 1 species